rnacentral:rRNA from 1 species
GACGAACGCUGGCGGCGUGCUUAACACAUGCAAGUCGAACGGAAAGGCCCUGCUUUUGUGGGGUGCUCGAGUGGCGAACGGGUGAGUAGCACGUGAGUAACCUGCCCUUGACUUUGGGAUAACUUCAGGAAACUGGGGCUAAUACCGGAUAGGAGCUCCUGCUGCAUGGUGGGGGUUGGAAAGUUUCGGCGGUUGGGGACGGACUCGCGGCUUAUCAGCUUGUUGGUGGGGUAGUGGCUUACCAAGGCUUUGACGGGUAGCCGGCCUGAGAGGGUGACCGGCCACAUUGGGACUGAGAUACGGCCCAGACUCCUACGGGAGGCAGCAGUGGGGAAUAUUGCACAAUGGGCGGAAGCCUGAUGCAGCAACGCCGCGUGCGGGAUGACGGCCUUCGGGUUGUAAACCGCUUUCGCCUGUGACGAAGCGUGAGUGACGGUAAUGGGUAAAGAAGCACCGGCUAACUACGUG